rnacentral:rRNA from 1 species
AGAGUUUGAUCCUGGCUCAGAGCGAACGUUAGCGGCAGGCCUAACACAUGCAAGUCGAACGAGAAUCCGGCUUCGGCCGGUAGUAAAGUGGCGGACGGGUGCGUAACACGUGGAUAAUCUGCCCUUUGGUAGGGGAUAACACUCCGAAAGGAAUGCUAAUACCGUAUAAGUCGGCGUGCUCUACGGAGCGCGUCGGGAAAGAUGGCCUCUUCAUGAAAGCUAUCACCGAAGGAUGAGUCCGCGUCCCAUCAGCUAGUUGGCGAGGUAAUGGCUCACCAAGGCGUAGACGGGUAGCUGGUCUGAGAGGAUGAUCAGCCUCACUGGGACUGAGACACGGCCCAGACUCCUACGGGAGGCAGCAGUGGGGAAUAUUGGACAAUGGGGGCAACCCUGAUCCAGCCAUGCCGCGUGAGUGAUGAAGGCCUUAGGGUUGUAAAGCUCUUUUGCCCGGGAAGAUAAUGACGGUACCG